CCUUCGAUAGCUCAGUUGGAAGAGCGCGAGACUGUAAUGGAUGCCAUCUUGAGGUCGCUGGUUCGAUCCCGGCUCGAAGGA
rnacentral:tRNA from 2 species